rnacentral:rRNA from 1 species
AGUUUGAUUAUGGCUCAGAUUGAACGCUGGCGGGAUGCUUUACACAUGCAAGUCGAACGGCAGCACGGACUUCGGUCUGGUGGCGAGUGGCGAACGGGUGAGAACGUGCCUAGUAGCGGGGGAUAACUACGCGAAAGCGUAGCUAAUACCGCAUACGCCCUUCGGGGGAAAGCGGGGACCUUCGGGCCUCGCACUAUUAGAGCGGCUGAUAUCGGACAUAGCUAGUUGGUGGGGUAACGGCUCACCAAGCAGCGACGAUCCGUAGCUGGUUUGAGAGGACGACCAGCCACACUGGACUGAGACACGGCCCAGACUCUACGGGAGGCAGCAGUGGGGAAUUUUGGACAAUGGGGGAAACCCUGAUCCAGCCAUCCCGCGUGUGCGAUGAAGGCCUUCGGGUUAAAAAGCACUUUUUGCAGGAAAAGAAACGGCACGGGAUAAUACCCCGUGCAACUGACGGUACCUGCAGAAUAAGCACCGGCUAACUACGUGCCAGCAGCCGCGGUAAUACGUAGGGUAAGCGUUAAUCGGAAUUACUGGGCGUAAAGCGUGCGCGCAGGCGGUUCGGAAAGAAAGAUGUGAAAUCCCAGAGCUUAACUUUGGAACUGCAUUUUUAACUACCGAGCUAGAGGUGUCAGAGGGAGGUGGAAUUCCGGUGUAGCAGUGAAAUGCGUAGAUAUGCGGAGGAACACCGGAUGGCGAAGGCAGCCUCCUGGGAUAACACUGACGCUCAUGCACGAAAGCGUGGGGAGCAAACAGGAUUAGAUACCCUGGUAGUCCACGCCCUAAACGAUGUCAACUAGCUGUUGGGGCCUUCGGGCCUUGGUAGCGCAGCUAACGCGUGAAGUUGACCGCCUGGGGAGUACGGUCGCAAGAUUAAAACUCAAAGGAAUUGACGGGACCCGCACAAGCGGUGGAUGAUGUGGAUUAAUUCGAUGCAACGUGCGAAAAACCUUACCUACCCUUGACAUGUCUGGAAUCCCGAAGAGAUUUGGGAGUGCCUGCAAGAGAACCGGAACACAGGUGCUGCAUGGCUGUCGUCAGCUCGUGUCGUGAGAUGUUGGGUUAAGUCCCGCAACGAGCGCAACCCUUGUCAUUAGUUGCUACGAAAGGCACUCUAAUGAGACUGCCGGUGACAAACCGGAGGAAGGUGGGGAUGACGUCAAGUCCUCAUGGCCCUUAUGGGUAGGGGCCACACGUCAUACAAUGGUCGGGACAGAGUGGUCGCCAACCCGCGAGGGGAGCCAAUCCCAGAAACCCGAUCGUAGUCCGGAUCGCAGUCUGCAACUCGACUGCGUGAAGUCGGAAUCGCUAGUAAUCGCGGAUCAGCAUGUCGCGGUGAAUACGUUCCCGGUCUUGUACACACCGCCCGUCACACCAUGGGAGUGGGUUUUACCAGAAGUAGUUAGCCUAACCGUAAGGAGGGCGAUUACCACGGUAGGAUUCAUGACUGGGGUGAAGUCGUAACAAGGUAA